ensembl:snoRNA
AACCUCAUUCUAGAUUAGAAUGGGUACUGUUGAUUGGUGUCCAGAAUUGGUCAAUGUGGCUAAAAAUGAGACACAGGUCAUGCUUCCAUUGCAGUAAAUGUUUACAGUGGUGACAAUGAGACCUGUAAUAUUU